GUCUUUCUGUGGUUGAGGAUUCAUUUACCUGAAAUUAUCAAUCUACUUCUUUUUAUCACAGGAUCAGGUGUGUCAAGGCUCAGUGGAGUUGAUUCCUCUGUGGGAAGCGGGGCAGGGGAGGAGGGGAUGCAUAUGCUGGUGAACAACAGGUGCCUGGAGAUCCCAGCUGAAGAUGAAGAAGGUGAAGGACGCUCUUCUCCACUCCUCCUCUGCUAGUCCAGGGAAGGCACUCCUGUGAGGGUGACCAAGGGAAAGGUACCCUGAACUAUGCUAUCAGAACUUUGAUCAUGGAAGGUGAUACUUUAUACUUCGGGAGAGAAAAUUCUUGUUACUCCUUUUGCCUUACAUUUGUCCCCUCUGUACUUACUGGUCAUAGUCUUUUUUGGCCAUCUUUCAGUACCGUGCAGGUUCUCUGGAUGUGCGUGAUUCCUUGGAUCUCUGAUUGUAGUGGAAAAUCAGACAAGAGUACCCAGAGAGCAAAGCUUCCUUCAUCCUAUCCCUCUGGGUCCACCAGCUCAUCCAUCCUCAAAUGUCAAAAGCCCUUUCUGUUGGAGGAGAAAGGCUGUGUGCAAAGCAGUGUAUAUUUUUCCUGUCUUGCACUCCCACUGACUAUAUUAUGCUCCUGGGGCUCUUCAAGUGGAGGAGACACGCAGCUAUGCUCACGGAUGGCAGGGCAGCCUAUAAAGCCAAGGUAGUGAGCGGGCAUUUGGGAGAAAAGAGUUUAAAAUUACUGUCAGAUGUGGAAUUGUUACACUCAAGUACAACAUCUCCACUUGGUUGUCAGUUCCAUUCACGGUUCUGUUAUACUUCUCAGAAACCCAUCUUUUAAAAAUCUUAAAAACUGAAAAUUAUGACAGCAGAGUAGACACGCAAGAUAAGGAACCCGGACACAUCUUGAAGUUAAACAAAUAUUUAUAACAGUAUUCACUGUGUGCCAGACACUUGCUAGGUCAUUAUAAGUAAACCAAAAUUGGGAACAACCUGCAGUUUUCAGAAGACAACAGGUAGCAACAACAAGAAAAAAAAUGCCUUAACAACAUGUAUUCAGUUGAUAUUACAGCGCGAGCAUCACCUAUCCUGAAUGACAGGAAACACCAAGUCAUCAGUUGGUGACAAGAGCUGUUCUGUGGCUUCCCAUUUCAGAUUUUCUGGAAGAGGGGCCACAUGUCGUUGUGAAAGGGUUGGUCACGUUGUUUGCUGGCAGCAGCGGGUGCUCCUACGCUAGUGUAGGUUUGUAGAGUCCCUAAAUGUACAGGGACUGUCUCUGACUUCCUUGCUUUUUCUCCUCUAGUCAUUUUGGAGUUGCAGUCCAGGGUGGGAUGAGUUAUUCCCUGCUCCGCAGGUUAUCCAGAGCCUUGUGGUGGAAGAGCUUGGGCCAUGGGCUUAGACUCGGGAACACUGCUUCAGGUCCUGCUGCUGCCACAGUCCACUAAGAGCUAGGAGCUUUUUAAGGUUUUUAUCUGACUUUGCCCCUCAAAGGGUUAGUCCCUUUUAGACUGUGAGUUUAGUUUACAACAUUAGCAACUGUGUCUAAUUCUUUUUUUUUUUUCCUUUCCUAAAAAUCUCUAGUGGUAAAGGAAGAAAGGGUAGAAGACAAAGUUCUCCAUAUGAAGUAAAGAUUCCUCCUUCCUUUUCUUCACCUUGCUUAAUCGAUGAAGAACCAGUUUCCUCUUCCAAAGACAGAGAAUUCACUGC
ensembl:lncRNA